rnacentral:rRNA from 1 species
UACGAAGGGGGCUAGCGUUGCUCGGAAUCACUGGGCGUAAAGGGUGCGUAGGCGGGUCUUUUAAGUCAGGGGUGAAAUCCUGGAGCUCAACUCCAGAACUGCCUUUGAUACUGAGGAUCUUGAGUUCGGGAGAGGUGAGUGGAACUGCGAGUGUAGAGGUGAAAUUCGUAGAUAUUCGCAAGAACACCAGUGGCGAAGGCGGCUUACUGGUCCAUAACUGACGCUGAGGUGCGAAAGCGUGGGGAGCAAACAGG